rnacentral:rRNA from 2 species
UCGGGUGGCUCUAGCGAGGGGGUCACACCUGUUCCCAUCCCGAACACAGCAGUUAAGCCCCUCAGCCCCGAUGGUACUGCGCGGGCAACUGCGUGGGAGAGUAGGACGCCGCCCGAU